UCAGGAUGAACGCUGGCGGCGUGCCUAAUACAUGCAAGUCGAGCGAAUGGAUUAAGAGCUUGCUCUUAUGAAGUUAGCGGCGGACGGGUGAGUAACACGUGGGUAACCUGCCCAUAAGACUGGGAUAACUCCGGGAAACCGGGGCUAAUACCGGAUAACAUUUUGAACUGCAUGGUUCGAAAUUGAAAGGCGGCUUCGGCUGUCACUUAUGGAUGGACCCGCGUCGCAUUAGCUAGUUGGUGAGGUAACGGCUCACCAAGGCAACGAUGCGUAGCCGACCUGAGAGGGUGAUCGGCCACACUGGGACUGAGACACGGCCCAGACUCCUACGGGAGGCAGCAGUAGGGAAUCUUCCGCAAUGGACGAAAGUCUGACGGAGCAACGCCGCGUGAGUGAUGAAGGCUUUCGGGUCGUAAAACUCUGUUGUUAGGGAAGAACAAGUGCUAGUUGAAUAAGCUGGCACCUGACGGUACCUAACCAGAAAGCCACG
rnacentral:rRNA from 1 species